rnacentral:lncRNA from 1 species
UUUGGGUGACAGUUUCUGACUUGCUUUUCAUUCUGCAUAGGAAGGAGCAGAUUAAUUGGUUAUCAGGUGAGAUGAGCUGCAGCAGAAUUUGUAUUCAGCAGUGACAGAAUUAAUUUUGGAAGUGGAUCAACUGCACCUCUCUGAGCACUCAGGAGCAUUACAGGAGCUGACAGCUUCUCUGGAGAUGAUGUAUGGUCAAGAUUCUGAAGCAGAUGACUCAGGAGAUUUUCAACAGUUCUUUGAGUGGAUGGGUGUUAAAACAAAGAAAUUAAUUUGUGUCAGAAAUAAUAUGGACACAACUCUGCAAAUUCUUGCUGACUGGUUCAGUGACAUCUCAAAGGACUCAGUCUACCUGGAAAGACUGUCAGCUGCUCCUUCUCCAUUCCUGCAGACCAGCUCCCUCAAUCUCCUUCUUGUCACUAUUACCCUCCAGGAGCAUGAUGAAGCACAGAAGAAAAUAAUCAUGAGUACUCACAAUAAAGCCAUAUAUGAAGCUCAAUAUGAGCAAAGUGUAACCACAGAAUAGAUAUUGGCCAGUGUUGAGUUCAAAAAACCAUGCAGAGGAGUUGUUGAAGAGAAGACAUGUUAUUCACUACUUAUUAUCUGUUAAGAAAACUGUGAAAAGCUUAAAGGCCCAGUUAAAGUGGAAGCUGUUUGAAAAGAGCAAAUUUUAUGGUGUUGGAAUUUUUGUCUGUAUUGUUCAGAUGGUUUAAGAAACAUUAAUUUUGUCUAUUCCAAGUAAGAGGCGACGAUGUAAAACAGUUUGUGUCUUCUGAAUUAAAUUUUGCCUUUAAAUGUGGAAGCUUUACAGGCCCCUGAGACCAAGCUGGAAUGGUUUAAAAAACAAAACAACCCUCCACUAACCAACCACCAAGGAAAAAAAAGUACACAGACUUUUCUGUUUCAGUCUCUAGCCAUGAUGUUGUGCUGUCCUUUUUAACUAAUUCCCUCUGGUGACAGGUGCUGUUCACAGCAUGAGCAGUUUUUGUCCAACUCCUUCUAUUGUGCUGGUUGCUUUUAACUUUGUUGAUAAUGUGUGCAUAUUCUCCUUGGUGACAGAAGACAGAGUCUGUUCCAGCUUUCAGGAUUCCCCACUAUUCCUCAGAGAGCU